rnacentral:rRNA from 1 species
GGAAUAUUGGUCAAUGGGCGCUAGCCUGAACCAGCCAAGUAGCGUGAAGGAUGACUGCCCUAUGGGUUGUAAACUUCUUUUGUGCGGGAGCAAUAAGGUCCACGUGUGGGCCGACGAGAGUACCGUACGAAUAAGCAUCGGCUAACUCCGUGCCAGCAGCCGCGGUAAUACGGGGGAUGCAAGCGUUAUCCGGAUUUAUUGGGUUUAAAGGGUGCGUAGGCUGUGAGGUAAGUCAGCGGUGAAAUGCCCCCGCUCAACGGGGUGAAGUGCCAUUGAUACUGCCUUGCUGGAAUGCGGAUGCCGUGGGAGGAAUGUGUGGUGUAGCGGUGAAAUGCAUAGAUAUCACACAGAACUCCGAUUGCGAAGGCAGCGUACCGGCGCCGGCCUGACGCUGAGGCACGAAAGCGUGGGUAUCGAACAG